CCGAGUUUUCUACUCCCAAACCCCUGUGAACUUAUACCUUUACUGUUGCUUCGGCGGGUUAACGCCCCGGAACGGCCCCCCAAGGCCUCCCGGAACCAGGCGCCCGCCGGGGGACCCAAACUCUUCUGUAUUUCUUUAUCUAAUAUAUACUGUCUGAGUAAAAACUAAAAUGAAUCA
rnacentral:misc_RNA from 1 species